GAUCUACCUAGUAGUACGGAAUAAUUGUUGGAAACGGCAACUAAUACCGUAUUCGCCCUACGGGGGAAAAAUUUAUUGCUAUUAGAUGAGCCUAUAUUAGAUUAGCUAGUUGGUGGAGUAAUAGCCUACCAAGGCAAUGAUCUAUAGCUGAUCUGAGAGGAUGAUCAGCCACACUGGAACUGAGAUACGGUCCAGACUCCUACGGGAGGCAGCAGUGGGGAAUAUUGGACAAUGGGCGAAAGCCUGAUCCAGCCAUGCCGCAUGAGUGAAGAAGGCCUUUGGGUUGUAAAGCUCUUUUAGUGAGGAAGAUAAUGACGGUACUCACAGAAGAAGUCCUGGCUAACUCCGUGCCAGCAGC
rnacentral:rRNA from 2 species